UAAAUAUGAGAGUUUGAUCCUGGCUCAGGAUAAACGCUGGCGGCGCACAUAAGACAUGCAAGUCGAACGGAAGUCGUUAUAAAAAGGAUUGAAGAUUUAUCUGAUUGAGAUUUUAUAACAAUGGCUUUAGUGGCGGACUGGUGAGUAACGCGUGAGCAACCUGCCUACUAGAGGGGAAUAACAGUGAGAAAUCAUUGCUAAUACCGCAUAUGCCAUGAACAUCACAUGAUGAAAAUGGGAAAAGAGUAAUCUGCUAGUAGAUGGGCUCGCGUCUGAUUAGAUAGUUGGUGGGGUAACGGCCUACCAAGUCAACGAUCAGUAGCCGGACUGAGAGGUUGGACGGCCACAUUGGGACUGAGAUACGGCCCAGACUCCUACGGGAGGCAGCAGUCGGGAAUAUUGCGCAAUGGAGGAAACUCUGACGCAGUGACGCCGCGU
rnacentral:rRNA from 1 species